UACGUAGGGGGCGAGCGUUAUCCGGAAUUACUGGGCGUAAAGCGCACGCAGGCGGUUCGCCAAGUUUGGAGUGACAGUUGUCGGCUCAACCGACAAAGGACUUCAAAAACUGGUGAACUUGAGGACGAGAGAGGAACAUGGAACUCCAGGUGUAGUAGUGAAAUGCGUAGAUAUCUGGAAGAACACCAAUGGCGAAGGCAAUGUUCUGGCUCGUUUCUGACGCUCAGG
rnacentral:rRNA from 1 species